rnacentral:rRNA from 1 species
AGCAGUCGCCGCGGUAAUACGUAGGGUGCAAGCGUUAAUCGGAAUUACUGGGCGUAAAGCGUGCGUAGGCGGUGAGUUAAGUCUGUUGUGAAAUCCCCGGGCUCAACCUGGGAAUGGCAGUGGAUACUGGCUCGCUAGAGUGUGUCAGAGGAUGGUGGAAUUCCCGGUGUAGCGGUGAAAUGCGUAGAGAUCGGGAGGAACAUCAGUGGCGAAGGCGGCCAUCUGGGACAACACUGACGCUGAGGCACGAAAGCGUGGGGAGCAAACAGGAUUAGAUACCCCCGUAGUCCCUGUCUCUUAUAC